AUUGAACGCUGGCGGCAGGCCUAACCCAUGCAAGUCGAACGCAGUGGCGGACGGGUGAGCAAUUUCUGGGCAUCUGCCUGGUCGUGGGGUCUAACGUCCGGAACCGGGCGCUACUACCGCAUACUACCAGUUGAGCUUAGGCCGGAUUAGCUAGUUGGUGGGGUAAAGGCCUACCAAGGCGACUAUCCGUAACUGGUCUGAGAGGAUGAUCAGUCACACUGUAACUGAGACACGGUCCAGACUCCUACGGGAGGCAGCAGUGGGGAAUAUGGGACAAUGGGCGAAAGCCUGAUCCAGCCAUGCCGCGUGGGUGAAGAAGGUCUUCGGAUUGUAAAGCACUUUAAGUUGGGAGGCGGUACCAACAGAAUAAGCACCGGCUAACUUCGUGCCAGCAGCCGCGGUAAUAC
rnacentral:rRNA from 1 species